UACGGGGGGAGCAAGCGUUGUUCGGAUUUACUGGGCGUAAAGGGCGCGUAGGCGGCCUGUGCAAGUCAGUUGUGAAAUCUCCGGGCUUAACUCGGAACGGUCAACUGAUACUGCUCGGCUAGAGUGCGGAAGGGGCAACUGGAAUUCUUGGUGUAGCGGUGAAAUGCGUAGAUAUCAAGAGGAACACCUGCGGCGAAGGCGGGUUGCUGGGCCGACACUGACGCUGAUGUGCGAAAGCUAGGGGAGCGAACGGG
rnacentral:rRNA from 1 species